UGAUUCAAGAACAACAUCAAUGGCAGAAGCAGUCAGACAAGCCCAUUCUCUCACUUCAAAGUAGCGAGUAGUCCGACAUACCCCAUCCACGUGGAGGCUGGCCCAAUCUCACCUCCAGACUAGCAUCCUAACACGCCUCAGGUAAAACUGACGACAACAAGCAAAAGAUGCUCAGAAUUUCCCUUUCCAUAAACCUCAACCACACAGGAAAGAAAAGACACUGGAGGCAUUAUGAUCAAAUAUUUCGAAGGAAAUGCAACUGUAGAGCAUCAUAGAAGGUUAUUCAUCCCUGCCAGCACUGAGAGUGUCCAUGAGGUUUGUGCUGUGCCCGGCUUGUCAACGGAGAGCAGGGGUUGUGUUAACAUGGGCUGACCUACCCGACACAGGUGAAUUAGCUACUUUCCCGGGGAAAGACGCGCAGGGUGAAAUGGCCUAUUUGACAAGCAGUGUUUGCUGUAGCUGACCUUUUCUACUCCUUUCUACUCCUUCACCACUCUCCAAAAGGGGAUCCGUGCAGUGACUGGCCUGAUCCGUGGCCUGACGAAUGAUGCUGACUUCAUUUACAUUCAACAUUCGGGUCAAAAUGGAGCACGAGUUGUAAAAUAUUUCGUUAUGAGCGACAUUAAAGUGAGAAAGUAUGUUGUGAAUGUUGAUUCAUUGAAACAAAUGCAUCCAUUUCAAACCUGUGGAGACAAGUUAGAAUGGCAUUAACGUGAUCAAUAUGAUAUUAAGGACAUGAAAUUGUCUCUUAAGAUAUUGCUGCAGUUAACAUAUAAUACUGUGAUUAUUGGCUUAGCAAUUAUUUCUCAUCAAAUACGUGUCUCUGGGGUAAGAGGAUUUAGUCUUGCAUCUGACUCAUUGAGGAAGAAGCACACAUACUUGCUCAGACACCAGUCAUCAUUGAUUAAAACAUACAUAUUAUCAAGAGAUGCUUUUAGAGUAAGUGUAGUAAUAUCAGGACUUAGUCACCAAAAUGUGCUUCACUUCACCUACCCACCUACCCACAUAAUGCACAUCAUGGACAGCCAGGCGCCGACUCAUAACCCCAACAUUAAAAGUUAAAAUUUGGGGGGGAAGAAUCAAAUACCAUAGGAGUAUACUCCAGGACCUAAGGCACCCACUUUAACUUCUAAAUUUCUAGUAUUCUCUUAGCUGUGACCAUGGUGAAAGUUAGUGAGUGAGUUUGGUUUUAUGCCGCUUU